AAUCAACGCUGGCGGCGUGCCUAACACAUGCAAGUCGAACGCGAAAGCCCCUUCGGGGGUUAGUAGAGUGGCGUCCGGGUGAGUAACACGUGGGUAAUCUGCCUUCGGGUGGGGAAUAACCCAGGGAAACUUGGGCUAAUACCGCAUAAUGCAGCGGCACCUAAUGGUGAUUAGUUGUUAAAGCGGGGGAUCGCAAGACCUCGCGCCUGAAGAGGAGCCUGCGGCAGAUUAGCUAGUUGGUGAGGUAAUGGCUCACCAAGGCUUCGAUCUGUAGCUGGUCUGAGAGGACGGCCAGCCACACUGGCACUGACACACGGGCCAGACUCCUACGGGAGGCAGCAGUGGGAAUCUUGCGCAAUGGGCGAAAGCCUGACGCAGCGACGCCGCGUGAGGGAUGACGGCCUU
rnacentral:rRNA from 1 species